AAUCCAUAGGUUAAUGAGGCGAACCGGGGGAACUGAAACAUCUAAGUACCCCGAGGAAAAGAAAUCAACCGAGAUUCCCCCAGUAGCGGCGAGCGAACGGGGAGGAGCCCAGAGCCUGAAUCAGCAUGUGUGUUAGUGGAAGCGUCUGGAAAGGCGCGCGAUACAGGGUGACAGCCCCGUACACAAAAGCGCAUGUGCUGUGAGCUCGAUGAGUAGGGCGGGACACGUGGUAUCCUGUCUGAAUAUGGGGGGACCAUCCUCCAAGGCUAAAUACUCCUGACUGACCGAUAGUGAACCAGUACCGUGAGGGAAAGGCGAAAAGAACCCCGGCGAGGGGAGUGAAAAAGAACCUGAAACCGUGUACGUACAAGCAGUGGGAGCCCCACCACCAAAGCAUUUGCUGUACCGCGUUGACGGAGCGAAGCG
rnacentral:rRNA from 2 species